CAGUAGCCGCGGUAAUACGGAGGGUGCAAGCGUUACUCGGAAUCACUGGGCGUAAAGGACGCGUAGGCGGAUUAUCAAGUCUCUUGUGAAAUCCAACGGCUUAACCGUUAAACUGCUUGGGAAACUGAUGAUCUAGAGUAAGGGAGAGGCAGAUGGAAUUCUUGGUGUAGGGGUAAAAUCCGUAGAUAUCAAGAAGAAUACCUAUUGCGAAGGCGAUCUGCUGGAACUUAACUGACGCUAAUGCGUGAAAGCGUGGGGAGCAAACAGGAUUAGAUACCCCCGUAGUCCCUGUCUCUUAUAC
rnacentral:rRNA from 1 species